rnacentral:lncRNA from 1 species
UCUACAAAAAAUUAAAAAUUAGUUACACGGUGGCUUGACUGUGCAUGACUGGAGACAGUGCGAGGUCGCCGAGUCCAUAAGCAGCAAGAAGGGCACACAGAAGGAGAAAGGAGAAGCUUGCUGCCGGAGGAGACAAACUGGACUUUACAGUGUUCUCCGGGGUGGGACCUGACUUUGACCUCAUGUAUACAGAUGGGCCUGACUGAGCUCAUCCAUGCUUAUGUCCGGGUGCUUAAGUCUUAUGGUAAUGUAUUUUUUUUUCAAUUGCCAUUGAAAGAUGUGAGAAAUGAAACAUGAAAAUAUUUAAUAAUUCAGCAUUUCCAAGUGUCUAGACUACUGAACAUAUUAUCCAAGAAAUUAUUUAGAAGAAAGGGAAAGGAAAUAGGCAAGAGAUUUUAUGAGUACUGACUAUGAAUCAGUUGUUUUCAGAGUUGUAUUUCUCACAGAAUAGAUACUAUUUUCCCUGUUUCACAGAUGACAAAUGUGAGGGUCAGA